UUCACUUCCUUCACCGGGCAGCGGUACCAUGGUAAGAAAGUGGGUGGUGGGGAGCGAGGGAGGUGACGUGCUUUGGGGGUCCGGGGCAGGCCUGGGGCAAGUAUGCAGACGCCAGGGCUUCUCAUUCGGAGAAUCUGCCAGAGGGACAUCCCGCGUGGGUUUUAAUUUGCUGCUUACCGCCUUACUUUGCCCUCCGGUCACGUGGACCUACAGCUAGCGAUAACUAAAACUCACUGAGCGCUCGGAGUGCAUCAAGUGCGUUUUGAAGGCUUUCAAACCAUCAUCACAUCCAGUAUAUUCUGGAUCCCCGUUUUGAAAGAUGAAGAAACUGAGGCCCAGAGAGGCGGAGUAAUUUGCCCAAGGAUCCACAGCUGGUGACUGUAGGAGUCGGGUUUGGAACCCAGAUCUGACUCCACCGCCCAAAGUAUUUUUCACUGCACUGUUCGAGGUGUGAAACUGCGCCUCAUGAAACCCUAGCGCUGCGGGUUUACGCCUCCAUCCUUCCCUCAUCCUUCGUUCAAUCCCUUCUCAGUCUAGGCCAAGAAAUAGCGUUUCAUUUAGUCCCAAGACGACGCUUUAAUCUGACCGAGAAUUGGAAAGUUAUUGUGAUGACUAUCUCCCGGGUUUGUUCCUCACUAGGACACUGAUGGCGUUUCCUGCCUGGGGAAAUGUCACACAGGCUAUGGAUUAUUCAGUGGCAGUGUAGAGCUGUCCUUUCGCAGGUUAGCUGUUGAAUGAAUGAAGGUUGUGCCUCCUUUCCCAUGUUUACUUGAACUGCCUGGAGGAAAGAGGACUGCUUUUAAAAAUCAGACUCGGCCCCACCGACUGGCUGUGGGUCUUUGGGUACAUUGCUUGCCUUCUCUGGGCUUGGUUUCCUCCGUGGUAAAGUAGAAGUAUUGGUUCUUGUUUGUGCACAGCUUUCCUGCAGAUCUGUGAGGUAAGCAACAGAGGAGCCUGAUGGGCUGCAGUCCAUGGGUCGCAGAGAGUCAGACACGACUUAGCAACUGAACAACAACAGCAAACAAAGCCGCUGGCUUUACCCUUCUUUCCAUCUCUGGCAGUAAUGCCGAUCUCACAGGAUUGGCCUCCGUGUGAGGGGCUUUGCACCUGUCCCUUGAGUGAUCCGCACGGUUGAGUUCCCUGAGAGAAAUGGUCUCCCUGUCUCCCUUCCAGGCUGCCCUCCUCCGAGCUGUGGCGCGGUCGCCGGGGCCAGCCGCGUGGGGCAGGCCGCUCCACCGGCUGUGCUGCUACGGUGGGCAGGAUCCCAGGAGGGGGCUGGGAAGCGGGACGCCCCCCUCCAAGGAGAAGCCACCGGGCCCAGAGGCGGAGAAGUUUCAGAUGGUGUACCGGUUCGACGCCAUCAAGGCCUUCGGGUACCUGUCUCGUCUGAAGGUGGCACAGACGGCCCUGACGGUGGCCGCCCUGCCGCCCGGCCUCUACGGCUAUUCCCAGGGCCUCAUGCCCUUCAGCUCCUUGUGCUUGGCGGGCGGGGUCGCCGGCUUCGCCCUGGCCAUGUUAUACUGGAUGAGCCAUUUCUUCCGGAGGCUGGUGGGCAUCCUGUACGUGAACGAGGCGGGCACUGUGCUGCGGGUGGCCCACCUGACCUUCUGGGGCCGGCGACAGGACACCUACUGCCCCGUGGCCGACGUGAUCCCCAUGACGGAGAGCCCGGAUCGGCCCCAAGAGCUGUUCGUGCGGAUCCAGCAGUACAGUGGGAAACAGACCUUCUACCUCACCCUGCGCUACGGGCGCGUCCUGGACCAAGACCGGUUUACGCAGGUGUUCGGGAUGCUGGACGGGCUCAAGUGAAUGGCCUGGCGCCCAAGUGGAUGCCGGGAGCCCAAGUGGAUGCCGGGAGCCGGGCCUCCAGUGGGGAGGCAAAGGGUGUGGGCGGGGCUGAAGGACGGGGUCGUGCCGCCGGGAAACUUCUGCCGGGGCCCCUGGGGUGAGAAAACUCACAAGGUAGACGCUAGUAACCGGGUUUAGGAGAGGCCCCGAGUGCCGAUUCUUCCCUGCACUUGCGUGUGGCAUCGAGAUAAUGGCCAGAAGUUUCUGAAGCAAGUAAAGCAUGUAAUUCAAGAUGGUUUGGGGCUUCUCUGGUGCCCCAGUGGUGGAGUCUGCCUGCCAGGGCAGAAGAUUCAGGCUUGAUUUGAUUCCUGGUCCAGGAAGAUUGCAUGUGCUGCGUAGCCUCUGGGCCCAUGCGCCACAGCUGCUGAGCCUGUGCUCUGGAGCCUGGGAACCACAACUACCAAAGCCCGCGUGUCCUGCUGCACCUGCUCUGCAAUAAGGGAAACCACCACAGUGAGAAGCGCAGCUGGAGAGCAACCCCCACUCUCUGCAACUAGAGAAAAGCCUGUACAGCAUUGAAGACAGCAUGGCCAGAAAAAAAAAUAAUGAUAAUAAAAAAAACCACAGUUUGUUACCGCAGGCUUCCAAGUCAGCUGGGUAUAAGGCAUCAUAUGUAGUUCAGGAGGGGAUUUGGGGCCUUUGUGGGGCCGACAGUGUUGGUGGGGAGGGAGGACAGAUGCUAAGUGUGUUGUGUGUUAGAGACGGGGAAAUGUGCAAGGCAAGAGAAGAGUGAGGUGGUCCAAAGCAGAACAGCAGCAGGGGGUGAGUGGGGGGUGAGGUGCAGAUGGCCUGGGGCCUGGACCUUGAAGGGCACCCCAGUUGUGAGGAGGCAGCCUGCGGGAGCAGCAAGGGCCUUCUGCCCUGGACAGGAGCAGGUUGGGUACCCUUGCUCAGGGAGGACCCUGAUUUGGAUCCACAUCACUGUGGGGAAGCUUUGAUGGUCAAAAAAAAAGGGGAGAACUGUGAAAGUUUGGGAACACUUAAGAACAAGAGGAAGCGGCUUUAAUUUGUACUUAUCUUUAGUUAAUGAUGCAAGUGAUAGGACUAGGCUUGUCAUGGAUUUGUUGUUUCCUCUGUUAAUUUUCUCCCUAGGUAUCUACAUAGAAGUCUCUCCUUUUCCAGUUUCUUCCUCUGUGUUAAUUUCUGCCAGUCGGAGGCCAUGGUCUGCGGGGGGUGUGGCUGUGAUUGUGUGUCUCAGAUGUUUGGGGACGCUGUCCAGCCCUCCCCUCACCCCCAUUGUCAGCCACAGUGUGUCUGUGGGUUCCCUAGGUAGAGGGGCUGUGCAGUGGAAGGCGUGAUCCAGAGCCUGGUGGUGGGCCUGAAGGGUCCCGGAGGGCUUCGGACCCACUCAGAAGUGCCGGCUCUUCAGGGUAAAUGGCAUGUGGUUCCAUUGACAGACGGUUUUACACCUACUUUAAAGGUGCAGCCAGAACCUGACUGCUCUCACCUCCGCCAGCCCCACCACCCUGAUCCAAGCUGCCCUUGUAGCCUCUGGAUUAUUGCAUCCUGCUGCUUCCAUCCUUACCCUGAUAGAGCCUGUUCUCACAGCAGCCAAAGUGAUCCUUUGAAAAAAGAGGAUUGCAUCACUUCUAUAGAAGCUGAAAUUCUUACUGGGUCUAUAGGUCCCGCCUGGAGCAUGGCCUGGCCCCUUCCCCCAGCUUCCUUGCCUCAUCCACAGUUCUGCACUGAUCACUUCACUUUGGCUGUUUUUCCCUUGUUCCUCCUCCAAUAGUCAAGCACCCUCCAGCCUCAGGGCCUUUGUAUUGACACAGUUCCUCUGCCUGGAAGCCUUUCUCCCCAGAUAUCUACAUAAAAGUCUCUCCUUUUCCAGUUUCUUGCUCUGCAUUUACCCUCUAGAAGUUAUCGUCUGGAGACUUCCUUGGUGGUCCAGUGAUUAAGACUUUGCCUUCCAAUGCAAGGGCAUGGGUUUGAUUC